rnacentral:rRNA from 1 species
GAUGAACGCUGGCGGCGUGCCUAAUACAUGCAAGUCGAGCGAAUGGAUUGAGAGCUUGCUCUUAUGAAGUUAGCGGCGGACGGGUGAGUAACACGUGGGUAACCUGCCCAUAAGACUGGGAUAACUCCGGGAAACCGGGGCUAAUACCGGAUAACAUUUUGAACCGCAUGGUUCGAAAUUGAAAGGCGUCUUCGGCUGUCACUUAUGGAUGGACCCGCGUCGCAUUAGCUAGUUGGUGAGGUAACGGCUCACCAAGGCAACGAUGCGUAGCCGACGUGAGAGGGUGAUCGGCCAAACUGAGACUGAGACACGGCCCAGACUCCUACGGGAGGCAGCAGUAGGGAAUCGUCCGCAAUGGACGAAAGUCUGACGGAGCAACGCCGCGUGAGUGAUGAAGGCUUUCGGGUCGUAAAACUCUGUUGUUAGGGAAGAACAAGUGCUAGUUGAAUAAGCUGGCACCUUGACGGUACCUAACCAGAAAGCCACGGCUAACUACGUGCCAGCCGCCGCAGUAA